GUGGGUGUAGCUCAGUUGGUUAGAGCGCCAGAUUGUGGCUCUGGAGGCCGAGGGUUCGAGCCCCUUCACUCACCCCA
rnacentral:tRNA from 4 species